rnacentral:lncRNA from 1 species
UAACAACACAGCCGGCGAGCACGCGGGAGCCUGCGCCUGUGUCCCUGGCUCCUGAGGCCGUCCGAGGUCUGUUAGGUGGCUCGUAUUACAUUUCUGCAGUGUCAGGCGGGGUCUAUAAACCUCUGGAUAGAGGAAGGCCUUUCACGCAGUAAAGAGACGCGCUGGGCCUGGUCACCAUGGGAGAACCACACUAUGCCCGCCAGCCUGGUGCCCAGCAGGCAAACCAGGUGGUAACGAGACCAACAUGGACUUCCCUCCAUGUGGCAUGUCAGCAAAACGUGAAGAAAUGAAGACUUGGAUUUGAGGUGUCUGUGGCGGAGGACGUUGGCGUGACUGUUGAAGGCCAGUGCCUGCGUGGCACGUGUGUGGUCCUGCCUCGCACUUCUGAUGCUAGCCUGUCCCUGACAGAAGUGAUGGCAAAGGAAGUGCCAGAAGCAGCUACCCCCGCCUGGCAAAGUUAAAGUCUGCUGGCCCCCGCGACAUGCUUCUUUCCUUGUAUCUCCCUGAAGACCUCCCCGCCUCCCACAGGUCCUGAGCCUGUAUUGAGGGUCUGCACUGUGCUUGCUCCAAGGUGGCUAGCAGGUGCAUAAAGAUGAGUGAGCACUGCCCUCCCUCAGACAGCGUGGGGCUCAUGGGGAGCCAGGCACCGUGCAGACAGGCAGGAGGAAGGGGCCGUGGUGAAGAUGUCUCGGGGUCUUAUUUGGGCAGCCGAGGUGGAAGCGGUAAUAUGCCAGUACACACGAAAGAGAUGAUUGGUUGAUUUAACUUGACUGAUUGAUCUAUGCCAGCAGAUUGUUGAAACUCACAGGAAUUUAGAAGCUUGGCGUUGGGAGGAGCCUCUGGGAGGUGAAAUGCCCCCGCCAGCUUUCUCAAGCACUCGCGGGAGACGGUAGUCUGUUCUCUACUUGGACGCUUCCAGAGGUGGAAAAUUUGCCACUUUGUGACACAUCCACUGCCCGUGGGGGCAAAUUCAAGCCUUCUCCCAACCCAACAACCCGAAGGUCAUGUAUUCGAUUUGGAUAUGUUAACUUGGAAAUCCCUGGUGACUCCCAAGAGAAGGCUCACAGCAAGUGGAGGAGGCAGGAGCUGACGGAAGCUACUGGCCAUGCUCAGAAUGGCCUUGGCACAUGGGGACCAGGGGAAUCACAGGAACAAGUUUGACUCUCAUGGAGGGCUUUUAUAAAAUGGGGGUUUGAUUUAAAAGGCAAUGCAGCAUGUUUGGAGGGUUGUGAGCAAUGGAGUAAACUAAUGCUGGAAGUAUUUAAGAAGAUUAAUUUAUCAAAAGGAGGAUGAACUGGAGAGAGAGAGACAGUGGCCUCCCAGGCACUCCCACGGAUCCUGACUCUCACGUUCAAUAGAGACCUGGAGGUAAUCUUUUCCACCAUUAGAUAAGCGAAGGGCUCCACACAAGAUUCCUACCAAGAGCCUGCACAGAUGCUCCAGCUGCAGUGGCCUCCCCCUGAUCUGAGCAUCACUUGCUGGCCACCUAGGCAUUCUCCAGCCCAAACACCCCAGCGUCUUGUCCUCCUUUGACAGCAUCUCCUGGUCCUUCUGUAUCCUGCCACAUCCUGCUCCUGCUGCUUCAUCACACAUCGGUCCAGAAGUUUAGAUGUAAUCAUAGAAAAAAAAUUCAUUAAUUUAUUUCCACAUUCCUCUGAUAUCUAUAUGGCAGCUCAUCAAUGUCAGGUGUUACAUGAGGCACCAAAGGUGCUGAGGAAAACAAGCAGUUCUUGCUCAAAAGAAGUCUCAGCUGAAUGGAGGGAGAUGGACAAAGUGAAAACAUCCAUGGGAAAAAGACCAUUAUCAGUCAUGGUCCAAGUCUGUACAGGGGUGCUGGGUCUGCAGUUGAAAGACCUGUCCAGGGUGAGAGGUAUUAUUCCCACAGCCUAAUAGCGAAAGGACCCUUCGAUGUAGUCAUGAACAAUGCGUAGGCUUGACCCAGAAGACAAGGACAUCAAAGUCUUUCCAGCAAGGCAGGCUGAGCUUCUGAACUGAGAGACUAGACAUGCAAGACAGAAGGAGUAAAGUGCCCAGAAGAAAGGAGGAACCACUCCUAAAUACAUGGUGGCAAUUCUUGCUCUGAACUUGAAAGAAAGAAAGGAGAGUAGAUGCAGAAAUGAAAAACAAUGUUGGUCUGUCUACCACAUUUGGGGGGAUUAAGGGAGUUCCCAUUUUUACCCUAAAUGUUCUCUGAAUUUUUUUUUUACCCUAAGGGAUAGAAGUAGUAAAGUAGAGAAUUCAGGAAGAACACAGGAUGAAAUAACUGUCUCUCAUUAUUUUUUAUCCACAUGUGAUGCAAGUGAGACGCAUUGUUGAGUUUAACAUGAUAAAGACUCUGGGAUAGAUUGUGCUAGGAAGAAAAAACAUAUUUCGAAUAGCACUGGUAAGUUGAAGAGUAUAGCAAUGGUGAUGUUUUUAGAGGGUGAGAAAACCACUUCAAAGAAGGUAAUUUUGGCCUUCGUCUCAUUGUUUACAUUUGUCUGAAUUGUUUUCUUCUUUAAUAUGAAACUGAAAACUUCUUGAAAGAUAGUUUUUAUGGGUAUAUGAAUAAAGGUUGACAUUACUUAGUGUCCGCACUGCAAAGAUGUAAUUCCAUUGGCUCCUGGUUUCCAUAUUGAGGAUGGAGAAGUCGGCUGUCAGUCUAAUUGCAGUAGUUCUUUAAUUUCUUUAACCAAAUGACUUUAUUCUGUUAAUCCAUUAUCAAUCUUUAAUGAGUUCUUUAUCUUUUCUCCAGAUACUUUUCAGAUCUUCUAUUUAUCCUUAAAUUUCACUAUAUUGCACUUAGGUGCAGACUCCUUUUUAUGUAUCUUGCUUGAAUUUGUGUUUCUGAAUCUAGGCAUCCAUGUUUUUUAUAAAUUUUAGAUAAUUCUCAGCUAUUAACUCUCUACAUAGUUACUUCGUUCUCUGAACUAGUUCCUUUGUGAAUUCCAAUAACAUAUUAGAACUUCUAACCCCAUCUGUAAUAUCUUUCAAACUCUAUAUGACAUUUUUGAAAUGUCUGACUUUAUGUUGUGUUCUGAGUAAUUUUUCAGCAUUAUCUUCUAGUCCACUUAUUCUCUCUUUAUCUGUGUCAUCUCUUCUAUUUAACUCAUUUAUCAAGUUGUGUUUUGUUUUUUGUUUUUUUAGAUGGAGUCUUGCUCUGUCACCCAGGCUGUAGUGCAGUGGCACAAUCUUGGCUCACUGCAACCUCUGCCUCCUAGGUUCAUGUAAUUCUCCUGCCUUGGCCUCCUGAGUAGCUGAGAUUAUAGGCACCUGCCACCAUGCCCAGCUAACUUUUGUAUUUUUAGUAGAGAUGGGGCUUCACCAUGUUUCUCAGGCUGGUCUCAAACUCCUGACCUCAAAUGAUCAGCCAACCUUGGCCUUCUAAAGUGCUGAGAUUACAGACAUGAGCCACCAUGCCCAGCCUAUCAAAGUUUUCUUUCUACUGUUAUAUUUUUACAUUUACGGAAGCAUUUGUAAUUAUUCUGUUUGCAACAUAUAUGGUUGUUUUCAGAUUUUUGCCUAUUAAAAUAAAUUUUUUAUUAUACUGUUACAUAUUGUAGCACCUUUCCUAAGGUAUAAUUGACAUACGAUAAAUUGCAAAUAUUUAAGUGUAUUAUUUGACACAUUUUGGCAGAUAUAUACAACCAUGAAACCAUUAUUACAAUCAGGAAAAUGAGCAUAUCCUCUGUUUGUUUAUGCAUUCACUUAAUGAUGAACAUUUGGUUGGUUUACAAUUUGGGGAUACUACAAAUAAAGUUCCUAUAAACAUUUAAGUGGAAAAGUCUUAGUGAGAAAACAUAGGCUUUCGUUUCUCUUGAGUAAAUGCCUAGGAGGGGAAGGCUGGAAUACAUGUUAG